AGCGAACGCUGGCGGCAGGCCUAACACAUGCAAGUCGAACGAACCUUUCGGGGUUAGUGGCGGACGGGUGAGUAACACGUGGGAACGUGCCUUUAGGUUCGGAAUAACUCAGGGAAACUUGUGCUAAUACCGAAUGUUCUCUUCGGGGGAAAGAUUUAUCGCCUUUAGAUCGGCCCGCGUCUGAUUAGCUAGUUGGUUGAGGUAAUGGCUCACCAAGGCGACGAUCAGUAGCUGGUCUGAGAGGAUGAUCAGCCACAUUGGGACUGAGACACGGCCCAAACUCCUACGGGAGGCAGCAGUGGGGAAUCUUGCGCAAUGGGCGAAAGCCUGACGCAGCCAUGCCGCGUGAAUGAUGAAGGUCUUAGGAUUGUAAAAUUCUUUCACCGGGGACGAUAAUGACGGUACCCGGAGAAGAAGCCCCGGCUAACUUCGUG
rnacentral:rRNA from 1 species